rnacentral:lncRNA from 1 species
UUCCUUUCAUUCUUCCUUGAGAAGCUACUAAUCUCUCUAUCUCCUUCACCGUCACUUCUUUUCUAAAACCUAGAUGUUGUUCAAGGUAAGAAUGUAUCUGUUACAUUAAUGCCCUGGUGAUGGAAGAUUUGGAUUGUCGGAGAAAGCAUACGGGCUCCAUAGCGGUUCAUCGCAACAAGAUCGAUUCAAAAGUUCAAGGGUAUGUGUUUGCGUUUUGGAUUGGAAUUGAAUCUCAGUUUUUCGUGCUUAGUUGUGUGUGAGAGUCUAUGAUGUUUUUCAACGGUUCCGAUUGUUCAACUUUUGAUAAAGCUAAGGAGAUUCAAGGAUUCAGUCCAUGUAAUAUGUAAUGGUAUGUGUGUUUUUUCUUUGUUUUUUUAACAAUUAUGAUCUGAAUCAUCGAACGUUUUUCCAUGAGUUAUCUGAUGGAAAAAAAUACAUGGCGUUAUUAUCAAUAGCUUCAGUUGAAUAAGAUGUACAUAUUAGUAUAAAGCAGGCUGCUGAUGUUCUUCAAACCAAGCAGAAUGGGAUGAUUCAUCGAGAUUACAUCAUAAUGGGUGUCCUUUCUUCGGGAUUUUGAAGGAUCCAAGUAAUCCUGAACGGGUGCUCUAUUUAUCAUAGUCUUUCAUUGGGUAAAUAGAUAAUCACUAUGGCCGACUGAAAGGGAUAAUCAUGAUCUGGAGAUGAAUCGAUAACUGUUCCAUUCUCAUCGUUCUUCAUUUUCAUUCGGGAGUUACCAUAGCUUAAUACUUCCGAGACAUGGGCUACACGGCAGACUCUACGUCACAUUGGGUAGAAGCAUUGCUUGAAGUUUCUGGUCGUCGGAAGACAGAGGAAGUUUCUAUGACUACAAAACGAUUAAAAGAGUUACUCGAAUCGCGAAAAGCUUCUUCACAAUAUACAUUCGGAAAUAACAAUGGUUCAGGAAGUAUGUCAACAUUAAAAAGUUGCAUUUUUGCAAAGAAGCACAUAACAACUACUAUCACAACCCUCCAUCGUCUUACUAUGCUUGGUUUGUGCUCGAAUCAUGUCUUUCUUUAAAAGAUGUUCUGAUGCAAAGUCUGAUUAUUAUACAAUUAGCCUACAAGGUUCCUAUACAUUGUAGUUAAAGGACAAUUUACAAACUUCACUAAAAGUUUGACUUUAAAGGCCCAACAAAAAGAGUUUGAACUUCAAUGUGGACAAACCAGCGUUAAUGACACUUUCUAUCUUCUUGAACUCUUAUGAUCAUCUUAUAGACAAGGUAAGAUGCUAUGAGGUCAACUGGUCCAUGAAGCAUAUGCUUCUUGCAGAAAGGUCUUUUUUAAUCUUUAUUUUUAUUUGGUUUAUUUCACUUUUAUUAGGGCUGGAAAUCAUGACCUAUGGUUCACAAAAUGCGUUUAUUUGGAUUAAAUAAACAGUUGUACAUAUGGCUCCAUUUCUACUCAAAUUGUACAACAUGGUUUGUUUAUGAGUUUAUAUUGUUCAAUUAAAGAGUGUUGUGUGCUUGUGUGUAUAUAUGAAUUUCUCAAAAUGCUUAUCUUCAUUGUUUUUUCCUUCAUCGACCUAUUAUAUUACAUCUAUGCUUAACUUGUCCAGGUCAGUAUCUCCGAUAUUUGCUCCUUUACCGCCCGAGUAGCCAACAAUAGUACUACCCAAAGCAAGGGCCAUGGACGACAACUAGAAAAGAUUUUCAGUUGAACAAUUUUGUAUUGGAGGAGGAUGUGCUAGCUCAUUGAACAUCAUUAGGGUAAUUUGCUCUUGAGUAGAUGCAUGCAUCUUUUAAGAAGCUGGUGGUUGGCAUAUCGAAGGUUUGAGAACAAGAAAAGUUCUCUUUGCAAUGAGCUCUUGCAGCUUUUCAAGUUCUCAGAGCAUUGUUAGCCACUGAUGGCUCAAUAUGCAUAAUUUAAAAAGGAAUACUCAGUAGAGAUCUGUGAGUGGUCUGGAUCAAGUUGGGACUUGGGAACUGUUGCUGAUAUAGAAGCCACCACAGCGUGAUGACUAUAUUUCAACUUCUGAGGGAGGCUGAAGAAAUUACUGCAAAACUUAAGGAAUAUUAGAUUAAAAAUCUACCUAGACCUAGACAAGUGGAUUUUUAUCAAAGGAGGCCCCUAUAUGCUAGAUACUCCACACCCUUGCAGUGAUCCAAGACAGUCAUGUUGUCGUAAGAGAAGUGGAAAGGAAGCUUCUUGAGUUGCAACAAGUGCGUAUAUGUGUAUCUAAAAGGAUAAUGUUAACCGAAUACUUUAUGUGUAUAUAAAAGGCGUAUAUGUGUAUAUAAAAGGAUAAUGUUAAUGGAAUACUUUAUGUGUAUAUAAAAGGAUAAUGU